rnacentral:rRNA from 1 species
GUGUCAGCAGCCGCGGUAAUACAGAGGGGGCAAGCGUUGUCCGGAUUUACUGGGCGUACAGCGCGCGCAGGCGGCCGUGUAUGUGACCGGUGACAGUCGCGGGCUCAACCCGCGCCGGCCCGGUUACACAGCACAGCUGGAGGCAGGGAGAGGGAUGUGGAAUACCCGGUGGAGCGGUGAAAUGCGUAGAGAUCGGGUGGAACACCAGCGGCGAAGGCGGCAUCCUGGCCCUGUACUGACGCUGAGGCGCGAUAGCGUGGGGAGCAAACGGGAUUAGAAACCCCAGUAGUCC